GUUGAUUUUAAUGCUCAAAGCGGCACAUUUGCUGCGCCACAUUAAGAAACUAGAAUUUGCCUUAAAGAGGUGGCAGUACGAGUACGAGGAGCCAGGAAAGGGUUACGAUAAACCGCUCACGAGCACUACAAGGAACUCCCGCCCGGAAAAGCAGGAUCCUGAAAUCAAAACAACAUUUCGAUGGCUGUCCGAAAAACGUAAAAUGUGAAUAAACGUGAUAAAGAACGGACAUAUAUCUUUCCUGCUGACUUAAGACGUUUUGGAUUUCUGGACCAACGUGUGAGAAAUAGAGAGGAA